UAUAGUGUCUUAAAUUAUUGUGACCUACACUGGGUACGGGGGGGGCUGCCCCCCGAGACAGGCUCCUCCUUCUGCUUGAAACAGACUCUCGGGCCCAGGCGCCCGUGCGCACUGUCCCCGGGCCUCCCCCGCUGUCAGCAGGGCCCUCCGCAGGGAGAGGGGGAGAGGGGUCAGUGUGGCCCGGGCAGGGGCGGGGGGCCCGGGUGUGUGUCCCUGCAGGGCCCACUCAGGAGAGUGGGUGGCUUCUGACGGGCUGUGUCCGCCUUCUGGAGGGGAGCAGCGGCUCCAAUAAAGCUGGGAUCAAAGACGA